AUUGAACGCUGGCGGCAGGCCUAACACAUGCAAGUCGAACGAGUGGCGGACGGGUGAGCUAUGUCUGGGAAACCGCCUGAUGGAGGGGGACAACUACUGGAAACGGUAGCUAAUACCGCAUACUAUCAGAUGUGCCGAGAUGGGAUUAGCUUGUUGGUGGGGGAACGGCGCACCAACGCCAAGAUCCCUAGCUGGUCUGAGAGGAUGACCAGCCACAUUGGAACUGAGACACGGUCCAGACUCCUACGGGAGGCAGCAGUGGGGAAUAUUGCACAAUGGGCGCAAGCCUGAUGCAGCCAUGCCGCGUGUAUGAAGAAGGCCUUCGGAUUGUAAAGUACUUUCAGCGGGGAGGCGUUACCCGCAGAAGAAGCACCGGCUAACUCCGUGCCAGCAGCCGCGGUAAUAC
rnacentral:rRNA from 1 species